rnacentral:lncRNA from 1 species
CAAUGUGAAGUAGGAUGGUUUCAGUUUGCCGAGAGCUAGUCCCUAACUGAAUUUUCAGAGGCUUGUAAUGUGAGUACCCAGAUUUUACAUUACUGUAUGGAAAGGAUAGAGCUUGGCAUUUUCACUAGUACCUAAGCUGAUUCCAGAAAUUGCCUGAUUCCAGGAUUUUGCAUCACAUCAGGUUACCAUGAAUUAUUUGAGACGUGGCAACACUGAUGGUUUACAAAUACUUCCUUUUUCCUACUUGAGAGGAGAAAAGGGAAUGCAGGAUGCCCUGAAUCAUCUAGUCCUAUCCACCCUACAGACCAGCACAUAUCAAGACAUCUCCACAUACACAGGAGAAGAACAGAAGUUACGUGCAAUUUCACAAAGUAAAAACUGCUCACGAUCUGGAGAGGCAUGGAAGAUAAGUCUCGUUCUGUCACUCAAAUCACAGGGCUGA